rnacentral:lncRNA from 1 species
CAUGACAGAACCCAACAACAGCAUGAACUGGGUCAGCAUGAGAACAGACUCACUGGUCACCAUAAACAGAUGUCAUGAAGUUUUGCCGCUCUUUAGCUCUCAGCAAUUGUUCCGACCCCAGAUGGAAUCUCUGGAGGGUGGUUACCACAGGGCAGUCAUAGCUCCAGCGCUUGCAUCCUCUCAGCUUUGAAUCCCAGAGGGAACCGCGAAGUUCUCCUGCCACCCCAGGCGCCCUACUGAGAGGAUUCACCUGAAGAUCUCGCUGCUUCUCAGUGUCUCUGAUUGGCUCACAUGCCAUCCCUACAGCUAGAGAUGGAGUCUCAACUGCCACAAAGAGACCGAGAGACUGGCCUGAGACUGGGUCCUUGGGUUCUGCUUCCAGAAGAUGGAAAACUUAUUUAAAGCCCUCUUCAUCCCCAACGCUGGUGACUGUUUUGGGCUGGGCACUGUCGUCGAGGGUAUGUUCAGCUAUGACAGCCCAAGGACAGCUACUGAGGACAUUUGCCUGCUUUUGAAGCUGCACAGCGUUUCUGAAUUCUCUGCAGCGCUGAGGCUUAUCUCCGGGCGCCACACCGUCUUAUCUGAAGUUUUCUUCCUUUCGUCUUCCUGAGAAGAUUUAUAACCCAGAAAAGCCAUGCCAUGAUUUCGGCUUCCAAAAUUGUAUUCUGGUUGUUUUAUUUUGCUCCUUGUCCUCUGUUGGCUUCGAGGAUGCUGUUGAACAAUCUACAAAUUCCCAGAGUGUCUUUGACUUUGUAGGCACCGUUGACCGUUGUCUUUGCUGUGUCUUUUAUAGAAUGUUCAUAAAUUCCAGGUUAUUACAGCUUUGUAAAGUUCUGUUACAGGCAAGCUAGGGACAGAUGCAGAUAGGAGAGAGGGACCAGAGGUAUAUUCCUGUAAUGUCACAGAGAAUUAUACUUUCAGUCUAGAAUGGGGAAUAGGAAAAAAGGCUUUAUAAGUUACAUUUUUUGUUUUUGUUUUUGUUUUUUUUUUUUUGAGACAGGGUUUCUCUGUAUAGCCCUGGCUGUCUGAAACUUACCUUGUAGACCAGGCUGGCCUUGAACUCAGAAAUCCACCUGCCUCUGCCUCCCAAGUGCUGGGAUUAAAGGCGUGUGCCACCACUGCCUGGCUCCUUUUUUUUUUUUUUUUUUUUUUUUUAAGACACACUUUUUUUUAAGACUUAAGUGACACAUUCAGGCUGUUCGCUAAGGAUGAGUUUAUGACUUUGCUUGUGUUGUGCGUAGGCACAGUCAUGCCAUGGUGCAUAUGUGGAGAACCAGAGGGCAACCUACAGGAAUGGACUCCUUAUUCCAGUGUGAGCAGACAAAAUGGUGGGUAAUGGGACCUCGGAGAUU